GUCUACAGCCAUGCCACCCUGAACAAGCCCAAUGUCUAAUUUCAGAAGCUAAGUAGGGUCGGGCCUGGUUAGUACUUGGGAGGGAGACCGCCUAGGAAGACCGAGUGCUGUAGGCA
rnacentral:rRNA from 1 species